UACGGGGGGGGCAAGCGUUGUUCGGAAUUACUGGGCGUAAAGGGCUCGUAGGCGGCCAACUAAGUCAGACGUGAAAUCCCCAGGCUCAACCUGGGAACUGCGUCUGAUACUGGAUGGCUUGAAUCCGGGAGAGGGAUGCAGAAUUCCGGGUGUAGCGGUGGAAUGCGUAGAGAUCCGGAAGAACACCGGUGGCGAAGGCGGCCUGCUGGGGUCUUGGCUGACGCUGAAGCGCGACAGCGUGGGGAGCAAACAGG
rnacentral:rRNA from 1 species